rnacentral:misc_RNA from 1 species
UGAGUAUUGCCUUGAAUUACCCAGUUAUUGAUUGUUAUGAAUCUUGAAGGAGCUCGAGAUACAGAUAGUUCCAGUUCAAAGGUCAAAACUAGGCUUAGUUAUGCAGCUGACGAAUCAAAACCAUACGUGGAAGGGCCUGCAAAGCCUUAUGUAGAAGAAAAGGGAAUUACUGAUUCAGUCAAGGUAUAUGGCACAGCAAAAAUCCAUGACUUCUGUUUUGGGAUUCCUUAUGGUGGUCUUGUUCUAAGUGGGGGCCUUCUAGGUUUUGUAUUGUCUAGAAAUCCUACGAUCCUGAGCACAGGUGUUUUAUUUGGAGGUGCUUUGCUAGCCCUUAGCAUCUUUAGCUUGAAGAUAUGGAGGCAAGGAAAAUCUAGUAUGCCAUUUGUGCUAGGACAAGCUGUACUCUCAGCAGCCCUUUUGUGGAAGAACUUUCAGGCAUAUUUAUUGACAAAAAAACUAAUUCCAACAGGGUUUUAUGUUGUUAUCAGUGCUGCAAUGCUAUGCUUCUAUUCAUAUGUGAUCAUCUCUGGAGGAAACCCACCACCGAAAAAGUUGCAUUCUUCAACUGUUAUGUCAUGAUGAGAAUU